rnacentral:rRNA from 1 species
GUUAGAGUUUGAUUCUGGCUCAGGAUGAACGCUGGCGGCGUGCCUAAUACAUGCAAGUCGAACGCUUUGUGGUUCAACUGAUUUGAAGAGCUUGCUCAGAUAUGACGAUGGACAUUGCAAAGAGUGGCGAACGGGUGAGUAACACGUGGGAAACCUACCUCUUAGCAGGGGAUAACAUUUGGAAACAGAUGCUAAUACCGUAUAACAAUGACAACCGCAUGGUUGUUAUUUAAAAGAUGGUUCUGCUAUCACUAAGAGAUGGUCCCGCGGUGCAUUAGCUAGUUGGUAAGGUAAUGGCUUACCAAGGCGAUGAUGCAUAGCCGAGUUGAGAGACUGAUCGGCCACAAUGGGACUGAGACACGGCCCAUACUCCUACGGGAGGCAGCAGUAGGGAAUCUUCCACAAUGGGCGAAAGCCUGAUGGAGCAACGCCGCGUGUGUGAUGAAGGGUUUCGGCUCGUAAAACACUGUUGUAAGAGAAGAAUGACAUUGAGAGUAACUGUUCAAUGUGUGACGGUAUCUUACCAGAAAGGAACGGCUAAAUACGUGCCAGCAGCCGCGGUAAUACGUAUGUUCCAAGCGUUAUCCGGAUUUAUUGGGCGUAAAGCGAGCGCAGACGGUUAUUUAAGUCUGAAGUGAAAGCCCUCAGCUCAACUGAGGAAUUGCUUUGGAAACUGGAUGACUUGAGUGCAGUAGAGGAAAGUGGAACUCCAUGUGUAGCGGUGAAAUGCGUAGAUAUAUGGAAGAACACCAGUGGCGAAGGCGGCUUUCUGGACUGUAACUGACGUUGAGGCUCGAAAGUGUGGGUAGCAAACAGGAUUAGAUACCCUGGUAGUCCACACCGUAAACGAUGAGUGCUAGGUGUUUGAGGGUUUCCGCCCUUAAGUGCCGCAGCUAACGCAUUAAGCACUCCGCCUGGGGAGUACGACCGCAAGGUUGAAACUCAAAGGAAUUGACGGGGACCCGCACAAGCGGUGGAGCAUGUGGUUUAAUUCGAAGCAACGCGAAGAACCUUACCAGGUCUUGACAUCCCUUGACAACUCCAGAGAUGGAGCGUUCCCUUCGGGGACAAGGUGACAGGUGGUGCAUGGUUGUCGUCAGCUCGUGUCGUGAGAUGUUGGGUUAAGUCCCGCAACGAGCGCAACCCUUAUUACUAGUUGCCAGCAUUCAGUUGGGCACUCUAGUGAGACUGCCGGUGACAAACCGGAGGAAGGUGGGGAUGACGUCAAAUCAUCAUGCCCCUUAUGACCUGGGCUACACACGUGCUACAAUGGCGUAUACAACGAGUUGCCAACCCGCGAGGGUGAGCUAAUCUCUUAAAGUACGUCUCAGUUCGGAUUGUAGGCUGCAACUCGCCUACAUGAAGUCGGAAUCGCUAGUAAUCGCGGAUCAGCACGCCGCGGUGAAUACGUUCCCGGGUCUUGUACACACCGCCCGUCACACCAUGAGAGUUUGUAACACCCAAAGCCGGUGGGGUAACCUUCGGGAGCCAGCCGUCUAAGGUGGGACAGAUGAUUAGGGUGAAGUCGUAACAAGGUUAAACCGUAA